GACUUUCCAACGUGUGCUCCUGGACUGCUUCCUUGUUGCUGACCUCGCCUGUCUCUGACUCUCCUGCUCCGUCAGCUCCCUGGGGGGGGGAUUACCUCACCGUGUGGCUGCACAUUCUGCCUUUGUGCGUGCGCUACGGCAUCUACUCAUCGUCACCGCUGACUCCUCGACUCCUUACUGGUUCCAACCAGCCUACAGUCGGCUACUCACAGCUCCCUCACACUCCUGGGUUCCCGACUACGUUCACUCAGCUCACCUGCUCCCUGCUGUUCACCUGAGAGCCAUCUAGUUGUCAACCCUGCAGUGUGAAACACCGUCUCUCCUCUCCAGUCCUCGCCAGAUCGUUGAGCCUUCCACUGUGGAUCACUGCCUGCCUGCCCGCCUGUUUGUUCUUCUGCCAUGCUCCAGCCAGCCAAACCCCUCCAACCUAGUUUGCUUCCCUGCCAUCAACCCACUCUCCUCAGCAUUAAAACCCCUGGAUUUGUCCCUACUGCUACGUUCAUUAUGCCAGCUAUAA